rnacentral:rRNA from 1 species
AUACGGAGGGUGCAAGCGUUAAUCGGAAUUACUGGGCGUAAAGCGCACGCAGGCGGUCAAUUAAGUCAGAUGUGAAAGCCCCGAGCUUAACUUGGGAAUUGCAUCUGAAACUGGUUGGCUAGAGUCUUGUAGAGGGGGGUAGAAUUCCACGUGUAGCGGUGAAAUGCGGAGAGAUGUGGAGGAAUACCGGUGGCGAAGGCGGCCCCCUGGACAAAGACUGACGCUCAGGUGCGAAAGCGUGGGGAGCAAACAGGAUUAGAUACCCUGGUAGUCCACGCUGUAAACGAUGUCGAUUUAGAGGUGGUGGUCUUGAACUGUGGCUUCUGGAGCUAACGCGUUAAAUCGACCGCCUGGGGAGUACGGCCGCAAGGUUAAAACUCAAAUGAAUUGACGGGG